rnacentral:rRNA from 1 species
GACGAACGCUGGCGGCGUGCUUAACACAUGCAAGUCGAACGGAAAGGACCGGCUUUUGUGGGGUGCUCGAGUGGCGAACGGGUGAGGAACACGAGAGUAACCUGCCCCUGACUUUGGGAUAACUUCAGGAAACUGGGGCUAAUACCAGAUAGGAGCUCCUGCUGCAUGGUGGGGGUUGGAAAGUUUCGGCGGUUGGUGAUGGACUCGCGGCUUAUCAGUUUGUUGGUGGGGUAGUGGCUUACCAAGGCUUUGACGGGUAGCCGGCCGGAGAGGGUGGCCGGCCACAUUGGGACUGAGAUACGGCCCAGACUCCUACGGGAGGCAGCAGUGGGGAAUAUUGCACAAUGGGCGGAAGCAUGAUGCAGCAACGCCGCGUGCGGGAUGACGGCCUUCGGGUUGUAAACCGCUUUCGCCUGUGACGAAGCGUGAGUGACGGUAAUGGGUAAAGAAGCACCGGCUAACUACGUG